rnacentral:rRNA from 1 species
GAGGUGGCCUUGAGAAGGGCACUUAGACACUGGCCCUAGCCCUACGGGGUGCAGCAGGCGCGAAACCUCUACACUGCACGAAAGUGUGAUAGGGGGACUCCAAGUGCUUAUACUUUUUGUAUAGGCUUUUGCCAAGGGUAAAUACCUUGGCGAAUAAGUGGUGGGCAAGACGGGUGCCAGCCGCCGCGGUAACACCUGCGCCACAAGUUGGAACCACAUUUAUUGGGCCUAAAGCGUUCGUAGCUUGUUUGAUAAAUCUUUUGUGAAAUCGUUGCGCUUAACGUAACGGCGUGCAAGAGACACUAUCAGACUUGGGACCGGAGAGGGGUUGGAGUAUUUCUGGGGAGCGGUAAAAUGCUAUAAUCCCAGAAAGACUGCCAAUGGCGAAGGCGCCUAACCAGAACGGUUUCGACGGUGAGGAACGAAAGCCAGGGGAGCAAUCCGGAUUAGAUAGAACUUCUUGUGUCAAUAGACUAAAUACUUCGUAAAGAUUAUUGCAACAAAACUACUGUCUGAACGAAGAUGACAUCACAAGAUAGCUCCUAAUUACCCGAGUAGUCCUGGCCGUAAACGCUGCGAGCUAGGUGUCACGUAUUUUUGUAAAUACGUGGUGUCGAAGCGAAGGUGUUAA